rnacentral:rRNA from 1 species
AAGGAAUAUUGCGCAAUGGGCGACAGCCUGACGCAGCGACGCCGCGUGGGGGAUGAAGGUCUUCGGAUUGUAAACCCCUUUCGGGAGGGAAGAGGGAAUGGGGUAACCCAUUCGGACGGUACCUCCAGAAGCAGCCACGGCUAACUUCGUGCCAGCAGCCGCGGUAAUACGAAGGUGGCAAGCGUUGUUCGGAUUCACUGGGCGUACAGGGAGCGUAGGCGGUUGGGUAAGCCCUCCGUGAAAUCUCCGGGCCUAACCCGGAAAGUGCAGAGGGGACUGCUCGGCUUGAGGACGGGAGAGGAGCGCGGAAUUCCCGGUGUAGCGGUGAAAUGCGUAGAGAUCGGGAGGAAGGCCGGUGGCGAAGGCGGCGCUCUGGAACGUUUCUGACGCUGAGGCUCGAAAGCGUGGGGAGCAAA